rnacentral:rRNA from 1 species
CCUACGGGAGGCAGCAGUGGGGAAUCUUGCGCAAUGGGCGAAAGCCUGACGCAGCAACGCCGCGUGCGGGAUGAAGGCCUUCGGGUUGUAAACCGCUUUUAACAGGAACGAAAAUGACGGUACCUGUAGAAUAAGGUGCGGCCAACUACGUGCCAGCAGCCGCGGUGACACGUAGGCACCAAGCGUUGUCCGGAUUUAUUGGGCGUAAAGAGCUCGUAGGCGGUUCGAUAAGUCGGGUGUGAAAACUCUGGGCUUAACCCAGAGACGCCACUCGAUACUAUUGUGACUAGAGUUCGGUAGGGGAGCGGGGAAUUCCUAGUGUAGCGGUGAAAUGCGCAGAUAUUAGGAGGAACACCGGUGGCGAAGGCGCCGCUCUGGGCCGAAACUGACGCUGAGGAGCGAAAGCGUGGGUAGCAAACAGGAUUAGAUACCCUGGUAGUCCACGCCGUAAACGGUGGGCACUAGGUGUGGGCUCCAACCAACGGAGUCCGCGCCGUCGCUAACGCAUUAAGUGCCCCGCCUGGGGAGUACGGCCGCAAGGUUAAAACCUCAAAUGAAUUGACGG